rnacentral:SRP_RNA from 1 species
GCCGGGCGUGGUGGCGCACGCCUGUAAUCCCAGCUACUUGGGAGGCUGAGGCAGGAGAAUUGCUUGAACCUGGGAGACAGAGGUUGCAGCGAGCUGAGAUGGCACCACUGCAUUCCAGCCUGGGUGACAGAGUGAGACUCUACCUCAA